rnacentral:lncRNA from 13 species
AUGGCUUAUCCACAAACUCACUUAGCUAAUUACUUACCGGUAACGUUUCCAUCAUGGCCUCCGGUUCAUGUUCCUCGGAGCUCCGGGUCGGAAGGAGGGGAAGCAGAGCAGCUGGAGGUUUAUUUGAAGACAAGGUCACUGAGGAUUCCACCUCUGAUCACAUUCAAGGCUUGUGGUGAAGUAUGCCUUCCUUGCUUUGGCCAGUCUUAUCAAAAGCUCAGCUUCUCCUCACCCCCAAUGGAUGAAGCGGAUUCGUUAUUUUCAAGGAAGCAAAACUUCAACACCAUGACAACUCAGAGACUGUAGUGAACUUUAGUAGCCUCCAUUGUGCAAUGGCCCAUCAUAGUUAGUGUGCACCAGGGUUCUCCAACCCUGUUCUUGGAGAGUUACCCUCCUGUAGGUUUUCGCUCCAACCCCCGUUGUAACUCACCUGAUGCAGCUGAUCAACUAGCUAAUUAUUAGAAUCAGGUGCGCUAGAUUGGGGUUGGAGUGAAAACCUACAGGACCGUAGCUCUCCAGGAACAGGAUAGGAGAGCCCUGGUGUACACCCUAUGGAGUGAAUUUCAGUGCCAACAAAAUUGUAUUUGAAUUUCAUCAUUUGUAUAAGAAUAAUGCAUUUAAG